rnacentral:piRNA from 1 species
UACCUCCAACAGGCACAUUAAGGUCCUCC